rnacentral:tRNA from 1 species
UUCCAGAUUGAUUAUCGUUUUUUUAUUUCCCGGCUUAAUAUUAGAUAUAUAUACCUAUCUAAGUAAUAAAUGA